rnacentral:snoRNA from 1 species
AUGGAACACAGAGUUGCAGUUGUUCGAUGCCGACGAUCGAUUGUGCUGAGGUGUUCCGAAAUUAAGCAACGGGAUUUGACAAGUGUUCGAUUAGUACGUAGGUCGAAUACGUGUACAGUUUCGAACAAUU